AUGGAAUGGAAUGGAAUGGAAUAGGGAUGAUAAUGACACCAACUUUGUAGCAUUUCUGUAACCAUUGAAUGAACUGAUAAAUGUAAAGGGUUUGGCACAUACCUGAUGUACUGCGGGGAACUGACAGAAUUCCAGACAGGAUCCCUGGGUGCUGACUCACACAGAAACAAGAAUGAGGACAGAUCCAUUACAUGGCUGAAUUGAGCCCAGAGGGUAUGGUACCUAGGAAUUGGACAGAACUUAUAGAUUCCAUGGGAUACUUCGAUCUCUGCAAAAAUACAUCCAAGAUCCAACUUGAUACACCCUUACCUGGCAUUCUAAGGAACUGUGACAAUUUAUGCCCUGAAGUAUAAGGUUCCCAUCUUCUGCUGCUCCCUCUCUUAAUAUGAAUGGUCUUUGAAAGAUGUCAAUUCUGAGAUGUUAGAGAGAUGUCAAUUCUGAGAUGUUUCUUGUGCAACCUAGAGAAUUUUUGUUCCAGUUAAGGUUUUUACAGGAAGACAAGGUAGCAAUUGGCAAGAGGUGCUCUACGUACAAAGAGGAAGGCAGUUAGAGAGAGGUGCCUAUGUACAGUGAGGAUAGCAGUUGGUAGCAAUGCUCUAAAUUCCACUACUCUUCUCACACACCAUCUAGGCUCUUCGAGAGUACAGAUUAGACACUCCGGUUCUAGCUAUGUUUGGCUCAUCUACCAAGAAGAGGGGAAAAUCCCUAUGGAAAGAACUGCACCAUAUUUUAAAAAGUUCUUCCCAAUUUUGAUAGCUAAAUGCCCUCUUUAUUCUGAUAUACUUAAAUGCGCUCCCCCAAAGACACACAUUCUUCUAUAGAAAUCCUGGCAUAUACUAAUUGAAUGUUUUCCCUUAAAUUGACAUUGGGACCUAUGGGGACCCCAAUGCAGAUACAGAUGUGAUUUUCCUUGUGUGAAUUGAAAGGAAUCAAAAUGGAUUAAAUAUCUUUCACUGAAAAUUCUGACCAAUAAUGCUCAAAAAUUUGAAUAAAGAACCAACUGUCUAUCCAGCCACUAAAUAUAUGGUGUUACUUUUGGACCACAACUUCCUAAGUGGACUACGAACUAACUUACUCCAGCAGGAACAGGCCAGAUAGGCUCCUGGGCAAGAAAGUGUCUAGAGCUCCUGUGCAUGGGGCAGAGUGGUUGGACAUCUGUCUUUCAUGGAGCAUCAGCUGUGUCCAUCAUGGGUCAGAUCUACUGUCUCAAGUAACUGCCUGAACUGCUCCAGCCCGGUGUACUUUACUUAGCUUUGUUAGGACUGAGAGGGAGACACAACCGUAAAGAAUGGCAACUGCAGGUCUUAGCCCCUGUGAACAGUGCCCAUUAGGAUAAGAAGGGUAAACUUCCAGGAAAGAUAUAGAUGUCUCAGCAGAGCAAGUGCUUUCCUCCUGCCCUGGCGGUCACAGCCAUGGGACAGGGUGUUGGAGGGAAGGACCCUUUUGUGCUUGUUCAAACAAGAGACAAGUUGGAGUAACUACUGCAGAGCAAGGGAUAUUUCUCAACAACAACCACCACCACAAGUGACUUGGUGACAGACAGAGGACUCUGAAAGUAGUUAUUUUGGGAGCCUAAUGACCAGACAUGUCUGCGAGGCUAUGGUAUAUGUAGUGGCUUUGGCAUCUUCCCAGCUGGCUAAAGAAAUAAGACAGGCUGGCUUGAGGAGAGAACAGGACCCAAGCAAGAAAGAUCCAACUCUUCCUGGAAUGGGUCAGACAAUAAAGCUUGAAAUGGG